rnacentral:pre_miRNA from 1 species
GGAAAGCUAGAAACUACCGUUAGAUCGAAAAAUAGACGUCUGAGAUUCAUCCACAUCACCACUAGUAAAAUUUUAACCCAAUACAAUUUUUACUGUGAAUAAAACUACGAGUAAAAUUUUUACACGUGCUAUGACGUGGAUGAAUCUCAGAUGUCCAUUUUGCGAUCUAAUAUUAGUUUCCAGGUUUCC